GUCCUGCAGUCCAGCUAAACAGCAAUUCGAAUGAUAUAGCACAUCUCGGUAGUGCAUUAGCAAUCCAAAUUUAUUUGAAAUUUACUACAGGUAAGCAGAGCGUUGGUCUUAAAAAAACAACAUCAUUAUCAUACAAUGGUGCAACAGUGAUUUAUAGAGAUAUAACGUGAUCACUUGAACAUGUCCUGAUAUAGUAUAAUCUGAUACUAAC